rnacentral:rRNA from 1 species
GACAGAGGUGCCGAGCGUUAGGCGGAAUCACUGGGCUUAAAGCGUGUGUAGGCGGACCGUUAAGUGCUUUGUGAAAUCCCACGGCUUAACCGUGGAACUGCUUGGCAUACUGGCGGUCUUGAGUGACUGAGGGGCAACUGGAACAAACGGUGGAGCGGUGAAAUGCGUAGAUAUCGUUUGGAACGCCAACGGCGAAAGCAGGUUGCUGGAAGUUAACUGACGCUGAGACACGAAAGCCAGGGGAG